rnacentral:rRNA from 1 species
AACGAACGCUGGCGGCAUGCCAAACACAUGCAAGUCGAACGAAGCCUUCGGGCUUAGUGGCGCACGGGUGCGUAACGCGUGGGAAUCUGCCCUUGGGUUCGGAAUAACAGUUAGAAAUGACUGCUAAUACCGGAUGAUGUCUUCGGACCAAAGAUUUAUCGCCCAGGGAUGAGCCCGCGUAGGAUUAGCUUGUUGGUGAGGUAAAGGCUCACCAAGGCGACGAUGCUUAGCUGGUCUGAGAGGAUGAGCAGCCACACUGGGACUGAGACACGGCCCAGACUCCUACGGGAGGCAGCAGUGGGGAAUAUUGGACAAUGGGCGAAAGCCUGAUCCAGCAAUGCCGCGUGAGUGAUGAAGGCCUUAGGGUUGUAAAGCUCUUUUACCCGGGAUGAUAAUGACAGUACCGGGAGAAUAAGCCCCGGCUAACUCCGUGCCAGCCGCCGCGGUAAAAC